CGCGCCGCUCGGGUGUGCACGCGCGCAAGGGGGGGACCAGGCACGUAACGGUUAGGAGACUGUCUGGAGUCUGUCUCAAAUUGAUAAAAUUGGAAAUGGAGUUUUUGUGUUGUUUUGUUUUUUUGUUUUUUAAACUCAUCUCAGCGCGUUCACGGGGGAAGCCGCCCGGUGGGAAUCUUAGCUUUUGCUCUCCUCYUCAGACGUCUGCGCCCACGAGUCUUCCACGUUUAUGCGAAGUAUUUAUAUUUCUAUUCUCAGAUAAAACGAAAGUUUUUAUUCCUCCCCCCUCUCCUCUGCAGUCUGUCAGCAGACAGCUCAUUGUGCUCAGGCAGGGAAUCCUUUAUACUUGGAGUUCAAGAUGAGUCCACAAAGUCAGCCGGCUUGAACUCAGAAAAGGUUUAUCAGGCUGAUUUCCUGUCCAUCCUGCCGCCAUGUCUGCAGUCCACAAGUAAACCYGCUCAGAUGACACAAAUGGUUUCCACUGGAAAUGACACAGAUGAACACAUCAGGAUGUUUCAGCAGGGAUGAGAGGAGCUCGAUGUCAUGUGCUGAAGCAGGGCUUUUAAUACACUGACGAGAUGGAGGUGGAGAAAUGGGGAAAGAGUACGGAUGUGAACACGUUAAACACAUGCUGUCUUAAGAGACCCCAGGCUUGAAUGAACUGCCAAGACUUCCUGUUUAUUUCAGCGGUUGUGUUGCAGUGAUUUCAGUGAAGGAAACAAAAUGCCAGGACUGUUGUUCCCACUGGAUACUUGUUUGGAAAUGUAUUUCUCAUUCAGACGCUGGCUGCCACUCUCUUACAGCUCUAUUAGGGCUUCCUAUAUUCAAACUGCACUGUGCAGAAUUUUAAGUGCAGAGUUGGUGGUGGACUAGGAGGAAGAUGUCACGCUAAGGAUGGGUUUUGGUGAUGAUGUUGGUGCUGUUGAUGCAGCAUCGAGCUCUUACUUUGUGCCUCUGUCAGCUAUGAUCCGUAACCACACAGUGAGUGACAGGCCAGUCUCCAGGGGAAAGCAUGAGGUCUGAGAAGCUCUUUUCAGAGGUGGCGAGGAAGACUGACCGUCUCGAAGACAGUGCUGGCAGCAGCCCUAUCUGCUCUAAUGCCUAUAGUCACUGACCGUUAGACAUGGCGUUCAAAGACUAGCGGUGCAAGUAUGGAAAUGCAGAUAAGGCAUUGUUGAGGAAACAUGCCUGGGAAUUGUUCAAGUCUUCCACUUGCAUAAUGUUUCAAUGUUUUUCUAUGUUUUUUUUUUGCAAAUGUUUUAAUCUCAGACACUAUGCAUUUGAUCCUGACGGCCAAUGUUUGCAUGAAAUAAAUUGUUGUGCAAAACAA